UACGGAGGGUGCAAGCGUUAUCCGGAUUCACUGGGUUUAAAGGGUGCGUAGGUGGGCAGUUAAGUCAGUGGUGAAAUCUCCGGGCUCAACCCGGAAACUGCCAUUGAUACUAUCUAUCUUGAAUAUCGUGGAGGUAAGCGGAAUAUGUCAUGUAGCGGUGAAAUGCUUAGAUAUGACAUAGAACACCAAUUGCGAAGGCAGCUUACUACCCGAAUAUUGACACUGAGGCACGAAAGCGUGGGGAUCAAACAGG
rnacentral:rRNA from 1 species